rnacentral:misc_RNA from 1 species
GUAGGUGAACCUGCGGAAGGAUCAUUAACACAAAUGUUUCCACAACCUUAACAUUGGCGCAUAGUCAAAUCCCUCUCAUGUCUCUACUGGCUCCAUCCUAUUCUAUAGUCUGGAGUCGAUGGCGAUGUCUUGGAAUGAGUGUCGAUCGUGCAAUGGUUGAAUUUGGCCGAUCGAUUUAAGGUGAAUGCUUUUGUAAUCACCGGCUCAUUCGGGAGGAGUAGUAAUCAGCCUCGACCAUGGCUGAGCCCUUUUAUUUUUUUAACCAAUCGAUUUUUAAUCUUUUAUUCUUUCUUUAGAAUCUUAUUUUAAGGAGAGAGCACUUUCAAUUGGAAAGCUUUAACCUUUCUAAUUUAAAUGUGAAAACACAACUCUUAACAGCGGAUAUCUCGGUUCUC